rnacentral:ncRNA from 2 species
GAAAAUUAACUCUGUACAAUCCAUUCCGAUGAAACAUUGUGCAGAG